GGGGGCGUAAAGGUUUCGACGGGGAUCAAUAGCCAUGAUAAGCGGGUAGAGCGGGCGAAAGCUCUUAAAUCGUCGCACAUUAAAUAUAAACGCUAACAAUAAUAGAUUAGCUUACGCUGCUUAAGUCAGCGUCAUCCGGUUAUGAAGUACCACGGUCAUAACACGGGUGUCAAAUGAGUGGUGAACGUAUAAGAAGCGUGCCUCCGCUUCUUAUACGAAUCAGAGGCUACUAAAGCGGAGAGCCUGCUUUUCGGCGCUUUGCAGAGGGAAUGUCAAAAGAAAAGCUACACUCGUAGAAAGUUGUGGGGAAGGAUUUUCGGACGCGGGUUCGAUUCCCGCCGCCUCCACCA
rnacentral:tmRNA from 1 species